UCCAAACAAUCGUCGAAAGCUCAGAAAUGAAUGUUCGCGAAUGAACAUUGAUUUCUGGUCUUUGCACCAGAACUGUUCUUUAAAAAUUCGGGUAUGUGAUAGAAGUAAGACUGAAUGAUCUCUUUCACUGGUGAUCAUUCAAGUCAAGGUAAGAUUUGCGAGUUCAAGCGCGAAUUUUCGG
rnacentral:misc_RNA from 1 species